rnacentral:lncRNA from 1 species
AUGUUCAUAGCAGUACCCCAAACACGCCCUAACCACUCAGUCACAGUCUCAACUGUACCAGUGAACCCCAGUCAACAGACUUUGCCUAAGCCCAGGCAUCGGAUCAGGGCCACAAAUGCUCUUUUAGGAUUUUUAAAAUUGGAACCAAUGCUUCAUUCAGCUGGCUCAAUAUCCACUGGUCCAAACCACUGCUCCAGAGACACAACUGGCAAUUGGACCACCCAGCCCAACAGACCUUCAUCCUUGCAUCCCAACCUUCUAUGCCCUUGGAAAACAGUAUCAGUGGUCUAUCGCAAUGACCACCUUCCCAAAUCUCUGGAGGUGCCUUUAUCACAGCCAGAUCAGAAAACCAGGACUGCACCUGCAUGCGGUCCUCAUCAGCUACAGCAGGCUGGGGAUGCAACAGGUCCUGUGGCCCAUGGAUUAUUACAAAUGGAAAAAAAGCCCUGUGAAACAGUGCCAGUGAGAACAGGCCAAGAUCAAGGGACAAGACAACUUCCACUCAACUUACACCUCCAAGACAAAACUCUGCAUGUCCCUGACUACCAGGUGAUACCUCCUCCCCAUCCAGAGCAUCCUUCAUGUCCUAAUGCCCAGGUCUCACUUCAAAUGGAACAAGAACACAGGAAAACAAUGCCACUGGGAACUGGUAACCAGGCCCCGAACCUUACGGGACAGGAUCACUGGGUCAUCCCUCCUUUCCUGGGCAUGGAUGGCCAGAAAACAAUUCUUUUUGUCCCUCACUAUCAGGCCACACCUCCUCCCAGCCCUAACUAUCAGGCUGAGGACAUACCAGGCUCUGUUGCUUAUACCUUGAAAGCUGUGCCACCAAGAAUACGGCCCCAGGCCACAACUAUUGGUCAGGAUGGUGGGACAGCACCUCCAGUGGUCUCUCAUAAACAAGACAUCAAUCAACUGGGCACCAUGCCCCAAGCUACAGCUUCUCUCACCUCUGACUACCAGAGUGGGAAAGUGACACAUCCUAAUGCUCAGCUGACAUACCAGUCAGAUUUAGAACUAUGGGGAGCAAUGACAGGGGGAACAGACCACCAGAACAUGAGUCCCUUUGGAUGGGGUUAUGGGGCAACCUCUCCUCCCCAGAGCACAAAGAGCAGGGCAACAAUCCCACCUAGCUUUGACCACUGGACCGCAUCUCUACCCCAACCUGAAUUUCAGACUGAAGUUAAUCCUGACCCACACCAAGCCAUCCUUCUAGCCAGCCCUACUCACCAGCCUGAGGAUAUACAGGGGGACCCUAAGGCCCAGGUCUCCCUUCAGGAAGAACUCAAACAAUGUGAAACAAUACUAGAGGAAACAAACCAGCAGACCCCAAACCCCACUGAUCAUGACCAAGGGGCAAUACUUCGUCUGAGCACUGAUGACAAGGAAACAAUUUCCCCUGGCCCUGACCACUGCACCAUGUUACCGCCCAGCCCUGACCUCCAGGCUGAGAAUAUUCCAGACCCUAAUGACCAGGAUUCUUGGCAGCUGAAGCUAGAACACAGUGAAACAAUAGAGCCAGCAACAAAGCAGCAAUCCAAGAAUCCCUUUGGUGAGGACCCGGGGGGAACACUUCUUCCUUUGAGCAAAGAUAAACAGGAAACAACUCCCUGUGGGCCUGAUCUCCAGGACGUGUCUCAUCAUGGCCCAGACUAUCAAACUGAGGACAUACGAGAUGCCAGUGAUCAAGAUUCAGUUCAACCAGAACAACACUGGCAAAUUGUCCAACCUGGACCAGAUCAGCAGACCACAAAUCCCACUGACCAAGAUCACAUAGAAAUAAGUCUGAUUCUGGGUCCAGAGAACCAGGAAACAAUUCUCUUGGACACCGACCACCAAGCUGUACUUUCUCUUAGCCCUGUCUUCCAGGCUAUAGAUACAGCAAACCCUGGCACUGGGGUCUCAUGUAAAACAGGACAGAAAAACAAGGAAAGAAUGCCACUAGGAAGUGAACACAAGGCCACAACUCUCCUAGGCUAUGAUUUGGAAGCAACAGCUCCUCCACCGGGCUCUGACCUCCAGGAUAAAACCCUGCUUGGCCCUGGAAACCACAGCUCACUUCCAGCCAAUACUGAUCCAAAUGUGGGUACAUCAGGGCCAGCGACUGAUACCCUGAUGCGACCAGAACAAGGUUUCUGGGAAACAAUGCCUUUGAGAACAGAUCAACAGGUCACAGAUACAACUGGCUGUGAUCACUGGGUAACACCUCCUCCACCUGGAUCUGACCACCAGGCCACAUGUCCUCCCAGUCCUGACCUCUCUGGAGCUGUCAUCUCAAUUCAGAAAGAACAGGAAGAAUGGAAAACAUUGCCAAAAGAGAUCAGCCCCCAGGAUGCUCUCCUUUCAGAAGUGGAUAUCAUGCUCACACCCACAUUGGGCUUAGACAGCUCCCAAGACAAAACUCCGCCUAGCCCUGACUACAGGGCUACCUCUUCACAUAGCCCUGAUGAUCAGGCUAAAGAUACAAGAGAUCCCAUUGCCCCGACCUGGGUUCACACAGAGCAAGAGCCUGGGGAAACAGUGUCACUGACAAUAGACCAGCAGGCCAUGACUGCAAUGGGCCAGGAUCAGGAGGCAGCCACACCUCCCCCACACUUGGAAUCCCGGGGCACAGCUCAAUGUGGCCCUGACUGUCAGGCCAUACCUAUGUGUAGCCCUGACCACCAGGAUGAGAAUACAGCAGCCCUGGUCUCACUUCAGCCUCUAGCUAAUAUAUGGGAAGUAGUGCCACAGGAGAAAGACCAGCAGGCCACAAUUCUAAUGGACCUGGGAUUUAGGACAUCACCUCCAUUGCUGAUACACCCCCAGGACCCAACUCUGCGUGGCCUUGACUACCAGACCAUACCUCUUUUCAACCCAUCAGAAACUUUCUCAGAUCCCGAUCCUCAGAAUGCACCUCCAUGGCAUCCUGAGUGCUCAGCAAAAUGGUUAAUGGGUCCAGACCCCCAAGUCCCACACUCAACCAGUCUUGACCCCCAAGUCACUCCUCUGCCCAGUUCAAACCAGUCUGAAGCUAGAUUAGACUCUACCAAGCCCCAGGGCACAACACAAACACAGCUAUGUAAUCAGGAAACAGCUCUACUAAGCUUCACUAAGCACGGGGCUGUACUGCCCUCAGGUCCUGGUCUGCAGACUAAAUGUCCCAGAGGUCUUGGCCCCCAGGCUGAAGUUGGACCAAACGUUGACCCCCGAGUUGAUAUUCAAUCGAGACUCCAAUGCCAGACCCAGCCAGUGCUAAAGAGAAAAGCCUCCUGUUUAAAUUACAUCAAGCCACACACCGUGGAGGGGGGGAUUGUCCCCGACAGCAUAGUCCAGGCCAUCAUCAGUUCCAUCCCUCAGGAGAAAAUAAAAAAUGAUGUCUAUAAACAAAUUCUUCUACGAAAGAUGAAGAAAUUCUCCCCUUACAGGUCUAGCCGAUACAAUUCAUCUUAUUAUCCUGUCUGUUUACUUUGUGCAUCCUGGAUCCCAAAUGGCUGUCCCCAUAAGGGAAUGAAAUACCCAUCUGAAGCACAGUUGCUGGCUGUACCUACUCCUAUGCCUGGUUUUGAGGAACUGGGAGUGAGAUUUGUCCUCCAAAUGCCCCAUUUGGCAGCAUGCUCCUAUCUUGACUUUCCUUAUUCCCACUAUAGUCUGCAAAGGUACCCCUAUGGACCACCAGCUUUUUCAGCAUCAUCUUACUCUGAGCUUGGGCUCGCUAGGUCUUCUAGGCCAAAGUGGCCACACUUCAUACUUGGCAAAGCUCACCAGCCAGGGGAGACAAGCCAAGACCCAGAAUUCAUAAGGAAAAUGCCAGUGAGGAAGCACAGCCCCAGAGAAGAAGAGACUGGGAACGGGAGGACAUUUUUCAAAUCUCUGCUAGAGAGAUUUCAGUGGAAGCUGAAA